GGAGGGGGAGGAGGAGGGGGAGGGGGAGGAAGAAGAGGAAGUAGUGAAUCACUAAGCAUAGCAUUCAAUGGGAGAAAAGAUGCAGAAAAUGACAGAUCAUGACACAAUUCUUUAAAGGCCUCUGAACCACACUCACACACAGAAAAAAAAUGUAUCAUUUGCGUGUGUGACACAAUGUUGACUGGGGAGCGAUAUGAAAACGUAAGGGACUGGAAAUGUAGUUCAGCUGGUAGAAUGAUUGCCUAGCAUGUCCGAGGCCUGUGGUGGUGUGAAUGUAAACAGUGCCCACAAGCUCUUAGGAGUAGCACUGUUAGGAGGUAUGGCUUUGUCAGGUGAAGUGAGCUGAUGGCCCAUCACAAGUCUCGAAUUUAAUAAAUAUUUGUUUCUUCCUCACCUGCCUAAGGCAAUCUUAGGUGUCUGAUUGGCUUUAACAAAGAGCUGAAAGCCAGUAACUGGGCCGGAAGUGGAAGGCAGAACUUCCGGGAAGAGAGAGGGAUUCUGGGAGAAGAAUUGAGAGGCAGGAAUUCAGCCAGCAGACAUGGAAGUGAAUGGUUGGAGCGCAGCGGAUCGGAGUAGAGAGGUGGAGCUGGUCAUGUGGUAGGCCGUGGUGGGUGCGGGCAUUAGUCAGGUUAGAGCAGCUGGGAGACCGCUCAGCAAAAGGCCUACGCUUUAAAAUAUUAAAAAACAAAACUGGGGUUGGGGAUUUAGCUCAGUGGUAGAGCGCUUGCCUAGGAAGCGCAAGGCCCUGGGUUCGAUCCCCAGCUCCGAAAAAAAGAACCAAAAACAAACAAACAAACAAAACAAAAAACAACAACAACAAAACAACCUCUGUGCCAUUAUUUAUAUCACUGGUGGGCCUGAAAAAAGCCCCACUAUAUAUCUCUCUGCCCACUGCCCACAGAUGUAGAUAUAUGACUCUCAGCUACGUCUCCAGCACGUCUGCCUGCAUGCCGCCAGGCUUCCCACCACAACGACAACGAACCAAACCUCUGAACUGUGCCAGGGAUUGAACUCAGAUCGUCAGGCUUGGAGGCAAGCACCUGUAACAUACUAAGCCACUGUGGUCCAUAACAACAUUAAACAAAGACAUUACAGAUGAUUUGAAUCUUCAAAAUCAAACUGACACACAGAAGUGGGACAGAGGCAAAUCAUUUAUUUGUUACUAGGUACUUUUUUUUUGUAGGAAGGGAGUUUUCUUUGUUAAUUCACUCAACAUUUAUUGAGAGAAGCAAGCCAUCAGAGAAGUGGCCCCUCCAGAGACAACACUCUGCAGAUCAAGGGUGAAUGCCCAGCCUGGGUCACCCCAACUCGGGAAGAGGCUCCAGAAACGGUGCCCUAGAUCCUUGAGGACUUCACAAUUGUUUAAAAUCACUUAAACUCUGGUAAAAAGAUAUAAAUUCUGGCUAAUUAUUACAUAACUUAUUUUUAUUCAAACUCUGUGUACUGAUAAUUCUUAUCUUAAUUUCAUUCUUCCUAAUCCGUUAUUCAAAUAUUUUUUCAUGCCCAUUAGCCUUCUGUUUCAGCAUCUAAUUUCUCUCCUUUUCCCGUGAUGCUCCAGGACAGCCCUUCAUGUUAGCCGCCCCAUCUGUCUAAUGUUUUCGUUCUGUUCCCUCAGUCUUGCCAGGUUCUGCUCCGGAACACUGAUGUCAUCUGCUUCCCUCAGGCCCCAGACCCUGGGAUCUAGUUUCAGUCGGAGCACCCUCUAGGCAGAUACAGCCCGCAAAACAAGGAUAUGCACACACCUACCAGCCCAGCAUCUAGUCUGCUGAGGUGCAAACUGGUACCCGGCUUUCCUCGGCUCGCCCACAGGAGCAGUGUAACCUCCCUUUAGAAUUAGAGGUACGAGCUUUAGAGUGGUCCCCAUUCCAUCUCCUGCCCAAACUUUAGUCAAACCUCGGCAGCUGGGCUGGAGGAGGAAGGCGGGGGGACAGAGAAGGAGCCAGAACACCGAGGCUUGCUCUUCUGCUAGGCUGUAGUUAUCUCCCUGGACAAUAUUAAGUUUGAAGGGAGAGCUUAAUGUUCCCCCCAGCGACUUCCAGAACCAUCUGUGUCCUAGCCUCAUUUCUUAUUCUCUCCUUCAAGGCAAAAGGAGAACAAAGCAUUGGUCAGUCUAGAAGUGAAUCUAGUAAUCAAGGAAGACAGAGCGGAGGCUGGGGUCAGACAGUCAUGGUUUAAUUGUGGGAUAUUGCUUUGUGAGCUAGGGUGAAAACAUACGCAUGUGUGGCUGGAAAUAUCAAGUGAGUUAAGCGUAGGCAGCCUUGAAAAGAGUACCUGCAAACAGGAAAUAGUCUUACAGCAGCCCCAUCUUACCCAAGCGGGGCACUUAUCCAAGACGCCAGCAGAUGCCUGAAUACUCAGGUAUCCUUAACCCUGAGCCAUGGGCAGAGGUGAUCUAGCCACUCCGUGUUGGUAGCCCUUGCACCCUCUUUGUACCAUGACGCUCGUGCUUUGGAGCCAUUAUUAAGCAAAGUAAGAGUUACUUGGAUGCAAGCACUGUGAAACCCUGGCAGUCGGUCUGUUAACUGAGAUGGCUGUCUAACACAGGAAGUAGCAUAUACAGUGUGGAUACACUGCAUGGAAGAAUGGUAAAUGUCCCAAGUGAGAUGGAGAUGGGCCAUGCCAGAUCUCACUGUGCCCCUCAAAACAGUGUACAACUUAAAACCUAUGAACCUUCUACUUUCCAGAAUUUUCCAUUUGGUGUCUUUAGACUGCAGCUGGCGUCAUGUGACUAAGGGAAGCCACACCUCAGUUAAGAGGAGACUACGGUAGUCUCAGGGCCGCGAUGCAGUUUCACAUGUGCAAAACCUUAAUUCCAUCCCCAGUGCUGGACAAACAAAACUCAAGACAAGGAACAUUCAGUAGGCCACUGUAGUCUCUACUUCUUACAAGGUGGUGAAAUUUAAUUUGCAUAUUAUUAUCUAUGCAAGUUAAACCUGAAGCUAAAGCAGCCCGGGCAUGUAAACAGUAAGGAAACUUGCAAAAAAAAAAAAAAAUCAUAGAUUUGUAAAAGUAAAGACAGCCUGUGGUUAUAUAAAUCAUUUCUAUUCAUUGAUUUAUUUGCAUAUAGAUUAUGCAAAAUCUGUACCAUGGAAUUCACCAUAUUUGGUACAUAGAUUUUGUCAACAGGAUAUGAAAUGAAUGAGAGAAAUUCAAUUUUCUUUCAGAGGCCUGUUCAGGAUGAUGAAUAUUUGUAACGCUGGUCUCAAACUUGUAAUGCAGUCAAGUCAAGGUCAACCUUGAGAUCCUGAUACUACUGCCUCCACCUCUGGACUUCAGUGGUGCUGGAAAUUGAACCCUGGGCUUCAUGCAUGGGAGCCAUGCCUUAACCACCUGAGCUCUGUUCCCAGAUCUUCUUGUCAGUUUGCUACUCCUCUUUAACCCCAGAGAAAGGACUUCAGAGCAAUGAGAGGGGACAUAGAGGGACAGCACCCCCAUAUCUGGUCUUGGAUCUGAACAUAAGGACUGAGAACAGUGAGCAGAGAAGGGGGCAAAGGGAGGUUAACCUAAGGCCACGGAGCUUGCAAAUGACCCUUGUCAUCUGUGGAGGCCCAGCUCACACAGGGAGAGAAAGGGACAGAUGCCCUGUCUGGGAGUGUAGACACUGACUGACAUUUCCAACUGCUCCCUCACCAGCACUUUGAGAGGACAAAUAACUGGCUAGAAUGUCAUUGUGGUGGCCUUCUGGGGCAGCAGCCCAGUCUCCAGGGGCAGUGUGGCAAAUGGCAGAAAUAGCAAGCUGGUGAGACUGGCUUGAUAGGGUGACUCAGCCUCCCUGGUACAAAUCCAAGAGUUUCCCUUCCCGUAGUCAUCUCUGACUGCUUUUGUUUGUACCUGACCUAAAAGUGUGCAGCGGCACACACAGUACACCACCACACAGAACACAGCAGAUACAACCUAACAAAACUCAAUACAGUCCCCGGGCAUGGUGGUGCACACCUUUGAUCCCAGUACUUGGGAAGCAGAGGUGGAUCUCUGAGAUCUAGGCCAGCCUGGUCUGCAGAGAGAAUUCCAGACCAGCCAAGGAUAUACGCAGUAAGACUCUGUCUCAAAACCAACAAAAACCUCAAUAUACCACAACACAAGACAACACAGCACAAUACAAUAAACAUGACCAGUCUAAUAUCCGAAAUGUCCCCAAAGACCAUGCACUUGGACUUGACGCCUUGGUCCCCAGCAUGUGGUUCUAGAGCCGGAAGGAGUGGAACCCGGGUAGCUGAAGCCAGUGGAUCACUGGGGCCGGGAGUCCAACACCAGCCUGAGAAACAGCAUGGUCCUAGUUACGAUUACCAUGGCUGUGAAGAGACAUCAGGAUCAAAAGCAACUCGAGGAGGAAAGGGUUUAUUUGGCUUAUACUUCCACAGCAGUUCUUCUCAAAGGGAAGUCAAGACAGGAAUUCAAACGAGGCAGGAACCUGGAGGCAGGAGCUGAUGCAGAGGCCAUGGAGGGAUGCUGCUUACCGGCUUGCUCACCAUGGCUUGCUCAGUCUGCUUUCUUAUGGAGCCCAGGGGUGGCCCCAGCCGCAAUGGGCUGGGCCCUCCCACAUUAAUCAUGAAAAUGCCCUACAGACUUGCCUAUAGCCUGAUCUUAUGGAGGCGUUUUCUCAGUUGAGGUUCCUCCUCUCAAAUGAUUCUAGCCCGUGUCGAGUUGGCCGGAAGUAUUGAGCAUAGUCCGCAUCAAGGAAAGAAGAGGUGGGUUCAUUAGAGGAAGCUGAGAGCUAGACUUGUACCUUUAAAUGGGUAUUAGAAUUCCAUUGUCCUUCCAUCCCGCCUCCCCACAUGGGGUAAACGGUUUCCUGUGUCAAGUGUACCCAUCAGAGGGUACCAUUCAUGGGUGGAGGAGUGUUUUGUUAUUUGUUUUGAUUUCUGAAUCUUUGAAAAAAAUUGUACAAUUUUUUUAAAAAACUAGAUUUUUUAAAAAAAAAGAAAUAAAAAGGGGGUCAUAUAGAAACCCUGCUAAUAUAUUAAUUAUGAAAUUCAAUACAUGAGAAGUUGCUUUGUCCUAUGACUAUGAACAUAUCUGUAUGUUCACUCUUCAGGAACUGUGGCCAGUAAGCAGCCAGGGCCUCUGCCUGCAGCAGGAGACCUUCUGUAAUCAGUCCAAGUCCUGCCCAUUGACCUGUAAAUCCAGCUCUAGGGGGGACCCAAUACCUUUGACCUCUGCAAGCAUCUACACUUUAGUGUACACACACACACACAGAGAGAGAGAGAGAGAGAGAGAGAGAGAGAGAGAGAGAGAGAGAGAGAGAAGGGAAGGAAGGGAAGGAGAGGGAGAAUUUUAAACUAUUAAUGAACUUUAAAAUUUUUAAGUUAAUAGAAGUUUUAAAGGAAAUGAAACUUACUUCUCACAGUUACCGAGGCCUGGAGCCCGAGUUGGAGCCUGCAGAAUAUUUGACUAGUGGGAAAUAUUUCCUGGUUUGUAGAUGGAACCUUCUGGCUAUGCCUUGGCUCUCUGGAUCAUCUUUUAUUUUAGGCCCAGUAGUCAUUUUAUUAGAGAGAAAAACAACCCAGUAUGCCUCUGGGACCUAAUCUAGCCCCCCCCCUCCAUGAAAGAGGCCUAUAUGAGAAAGGCAUAACACAGGAGAUCUUGGAAGCUUUAACUGUUAGCAGCUGUGAGGCCCAGGGAGCUGGAUGAGAGGAAGGGAGGAGCCUAUAUAGAGGUGCAUGGGGUAAGGAAGAGGUGUCCAGAGAAAGAGAUGAAUGACAAGAACGGCAGAAGACUUACUUAGGAUCUGGGCUGGAAUAUCCCUCCAAACACACACACACACACACACACACACACACACACACACACACGGAGGGGGUGCGGAAAGGAAGGAAAAGUGACACCUAGGGCUGGAGAGAUGGCUCAGUGUUAAGAGCACUUACUGCUCUUCCAGAGGUCCUGAGUUCAAUUCCCAGCAACUACAUGGUGGCUCACAACCAUUUGUAAUGGAAUCUGAUGCUCUCUUCUGGUGUGUCUGACGACAGUGAUGCCUUUUAGAAUUAGAACCUGAGAGGACAGGCAGACUUAGCAACGAAGGUCUAUAAGCAACUGCCUGGGUUCUCUUUUAUGAAGGUCAUCUUACCCAGGCAUAGUGACUCAUAUCUUUAGUACCAGCUCUCUGAAGGCAGAGGCAUGCAGAGCUCUGAGUUCAAGGCCAGCCUGAUCUACAGAAGGAGUUCUAGGACAACCAGGACUACACAGAGAAACUCUAUCUCAAAAACAACAAAAAAUAAUAAUAAUAAGGAUCAUCCUGUUCAUGAUACCAUUGACCUUGUGACCCAAUCACUUCCCCACUUCCAAAGACCAUCAUGGGUAGGAACACCCAAGCAGCUGGGUUCAAGGUUGGUGUUCUAAUUAGCUUUAAUUGUCAACUUGACACAGCCUAGAGUCAUCUGGAAAACCUCAGUUGAAGAAUUGCCUAGAUCACUUUUGUCUUUGGGCGUGUCUGUGGGGCAUUGUCUUGACCUUCAGUUGAUGCAGGAAGGCCCAGCUCAUGGUGGGCGGCACCGUCCCUAGGCACACUGGUCCAGGACUAUAUAAGAAAACUAGCUAAUCAUGAACUAGCAGGCAUCAUUCCACCACUUCUGAUUCCGUUCCUGCCGCAUUCUUUUUUUUUUUUUUUUUUUUUUUUGGUUCUUUUUUUCGGAGCUGGGAACCGAACCCAGGGCCUUGCGCUUCCUAGGUAAGCGCUCUACCACUGAGCUAAAUCCCCAGCCCCUCUGCCGCAUUCUUGCCUUGACUUCCCUCAGUGAUGGACUGUUGACCUGGCAGUGCGAGCCAAGCAAAUGCUUUCUCUCCUAAGUUGUUCCUAUCAGCAUUACUUCAUUAUAGCAACAGGCGGAAAGUCAGCAAGUGGGGACUGUGUCAGGUUCGUGACUUUUGAAGGGUAGCUGUGGAACGUGGAGACAUUGACCGUCACCUCCUUAGGGAAUGUUCUCAGAGAACAAGGGCCAACAUAGAGGACCAAGAUGUCCAUCCCACCAGGCUGACAGGCAUACCGUGUCCUCUGACUCUCUUGAAAGGAGACUGGCAUGCUCAAUGGUCCUGUUUGAUUCCUGGAAACACUUGAAGCCCAGCCCAGCAGCAUGAAGAGACCCGGUGGGUUUCCAUGUUUCCCCAAGCCACUGCUUCGUGGGGAAUAUUUUCACAUUCUCCAUUUGCCUAGCAGGAAGUCAUUCUAAGACUUGUGUUUUGGCCAAAAGCGCACACCAAUAAAUCAGCGUGGUAAGGAGUGACCUGUGCAGCUUGAGCUCCUGACACAUUUAUACAGCUGCUUGGGACAAGGCUUCCAUUCUCUCUCUGCCCAGGGCAGGGGACGGACAGUUUGCAAGUCUGAAUCGGUCCAGUAUUAGGAGUGUUUGGGUUUUGAAUUUGUUACCAAGUAAAUUUGAUUCACACUGAACCCAAGGUCCACAUGUGGAGCCUUUAUGCUUCUAAACACCUUCCAAAAACAGUUCUUAUGCAAGACUAUUUCAGUCCCUUCAUUCCCUCAGAACAGAGAGAACAUAGUUCUGUAUGACUGAGUGAAAAUGACCCUACAGGAUAAAAUUGGAAUUAUAUGCACAACCAACUCACUACAGAAAAUGUCUCCUUCAGAGCUGAAGAGAUGGCUCAGCAGGUAGGAGUGCUUGCUUUUCUUGCAAAAGACCUGGGCCGUUCAUAUGAAUGUGUCGUACGUGAGUGGAUCACGUACCAGGAGACAAUUUCAGAGAAGGGUACGGAGACUGUAAACCCAAUUUCUUUUUUGUUUGUUUGUUUUUUCAUCAAGAGUAGGGGUGCUGUUGCCAUGUGGCUUUUAAAAGAAGAAUCUCAAGCAACCCAGACUGACUUCAAACUCACUAUGUAACCAAGGCUGGCCUUGAACUCCUGAUCUUCCUCCAUCCAUCUAGGAAGUGCUGGUGUUAUAGGUAUGUGGUUGCUAGAGUGUUAAAUAUCACCUUGGCCUCUAGCAUUUGAACUCUGAGUCCUUAGUUGGUGGCUCUAGGGAGUCUUAAGAGGUGUGACCUUGCUAGAGGAGGUAUGUCACUGAGCAUUCCUUCAAGAUGGCUACCCUCAACUUUCAGCUUCUCGAUCCAGGGUCCAUGCCUGCCUGCUGCCACACUUCUCCGCCAUGAUGGUGAUGGACUUUUAUUCCUUUGCUACCAUAGACCCAAAUAAACGCUUCCUUCCAUAA